CAAGCACCUCUAACGGACAGGUCUGGAUAUAUUCAUCUUUUUCUUUUAGUACUUGUACUUUCAACAAUACCAAUCAUGCGGUCAGGUAGUGGCUUGCUUUAUGUACUUAUUCUUUAUAUUUAGGUUUUAUAUUUUUUGUUGUCAAUAUAAUUUAUUAAAGUGCCAUAAACUAGUCUUUUUUUCUAUUUUAUUGUAUAUUCAAAGCGGCAUAUAUGUAUACCCAUAUCUGUAUAUUAUAAAAAUCUGAAAUAUUUCCCUUGAAAUCUACAGAAGAAAAUGGUAUAGUAACCUUUUUGAAUUGUUGAUUUAUUAUCCAUACAUAAACAAUGAUGUAUGUGAAUAAAAUUAAUUAACAC
rnacentral:sRNA from 1 species